AUUGAACGCUGGCGGCAGGCCUAACACAUGCAAGUCGAACGGUAACAGGAAGCAGCUUGCUGCUUCGCUGACGAGUGGCGGACGGGUGAGUAAUGUCUGGGAAGCUGCCUGAUGGAGUGGGAUAACUACUGGAAACGGUAGCUAAUACCGCAUAAUGUCGCAAGACCAAAGAGGGGGACCUUCGGGCCUCUUGCCAUCGGAUGUGCCCAGAUGGGAUUAGCUUGUUGGUGGGGUAACGGCUCACCAAGGCGACGAUCCCUAGCUGGUCUGAGAGGAUGACCAGCCACACUGGAACUGAGACACAGUCCAGACUCCUACGGGAGGCAGCAGUGGGGAAUAUUGCACAAUGGGCGCAAGCCUGAUGCAGCCAUGCCGCGUGUAUGAAGAAGGCCUUCGGGUUGUAAAGUACUUUCAGCGGGGAGGAAGGGAGUAAAGUUAAUACCUUUGCUCAUUGACGUUACCCGCAGAAGAAGCACCGGCUAACUCCGUG
rnacentral:rRNA from 1 species